GCUUUUACGGGCGACCAUGGACUAUGAACAGAGGACUGAGCUUUUCCAAAGGGAGAAGAAGUGGGGUCUGAACACGUACCUCUACGCCCCUAAAGAUGACUACAAACACAGAAUGUACUGGAGGACCUAUACUCACCUGAGGAGGCAGGUUAGGAGGACACAGCGUCACACACACACACACACACACACACACACACAGCGUUGCAAACCCC
rnacentral:lncRNA from 1 species